AUGAAUUUUAUUAGAGGUUUAGAUUCUUUACAGUUGGGCAGGUUUUACAGGUUUAGUUUUAUCCUGUGUUUGGACUGGAAAAUAUCAAAUCUAGCAACUGUGGCGAAUGGCGCCAUUUUUGAGCGUGACGCGCAUGCGCCUGCUGGAUAUAAAUAUGGCGCAGCUUCUAUGUCAGCGUUUAAGAAAAAAAAAAAAAGAGCUGCUAGCAUUUUGUCGCACGGAGACACGAAGCUGUUGGUCAGAUUUUCAUAAACUUUUGACCUGGAUUAAAAAGGAUAUAUUAUGAUCUCCUAACAUGCGGAAUCCAAGUGGACGCCCAGCCUUAUGACUGAAACUUUUGUGGCUCCAACUGAAACUGUGUCGGUGUUUAUCGAGGCCUAGUUUGGCGUCUUGUACUUGACCUGCGAGAAGGCCGCAGUGAUGGCAAGUAGGCCGCGGGAGCGCCAUGUUUGAAGUCGCUGCGUUGGUUAUUCGAGCAGCACACAAGGAGAGAACCGGCCAUGGCCUCUCAGCGGCGGUUUGUUUGGUUGCUGGCGUCCCUGAAACAUCUGACGAGAUGUAAUGGCACCUGGAGCUAGCAGUUGAUCGAUUAUGGAUGUACUACAAUCAAGCUGAGGAUCGCUAGCAGUUGAUCGAUUAUGGAUAUACUACAAUCAAGCUGAGGAUUCCCUUCAAUGAAGUUGAGGAUCGCUUCCUUCAAGCUGAGGAAUCGCUACAAGGUGCCUGGCGGAUCCGCCCAACUCAUCAAAGGUUGGUUAAGUCAAAGAACUGUUCCAAUGGCGGGUCCAGAAGACAUCUCAGGGUAGGAGCUGUUGCGGUUUUUGCUACGCUGCUGAUGUUAACACUGUUGAAGGCCAACGCUAGGCCUCUUGGUGUGCUGGUUUGGUUUGAUUCUCUGCUGAGAGUCAAUAAGCUGAGAAGGAUUCUGCUGUUGUAAAUCCUACUGUCUUUAAAUUUUAGUUUUUGAAACAGUUGCUGUGGUCUUGUGACCUGUGCAAGUUUAGGUGUAAUUAGAAUCUGAUAUUUACAGUCUGAAUUUUCUGGCUUAAAGUCAGUUGUCAUGAAAGAAAGAUGGCUGCCAAAGAUUUGGCAAACGCAUGAAAGAAAGAUGGCUGCCAAAGAUUUGGCAAAGAUGGUUUAGAGGCUGUAGGAAGUGAUUCAGCUUACGUUUCGUAAAUAUCACUAAUAAACCUUGAAAACAUACCUACUUGUCAGUGCUAAUCUAAUGUGGCUAUGUUCACAUUAGCAUAGCUGCAAUACAAUAAUUAUCUUCCCAAUGAAUAUCAAAUAUGUUUUUGGGUGAAGAUGAGCUCUUUAUACUACAACAUACAUAAUUAUUUUUUAUUUUUUGUACCUACUUAAUAUUUAAUUUGAAAUUUAAUACUUUAAUAACUCAGACGAAUUUAAUUUACGUUCAAUUUAAACGUGAAAACCGAUUAAUUUUUGCGCCAAACAACGCGUGGCCUCGAGCAAUUUCGUCGUGCGACUUCAUUUCUUCUGGACAACAACGGAAAGAUCUCCUGGAGCUGCAGAUCAGAGCUUAUAGAGGUAAUGUUCACACUGUAAUCUACCAUCUCUUAUUUGCAAGUUUUCAGCUGAACUCCAUGUUUUCCUUCUAGAGAGGAUCGCCUGGGGCCUGUCCUUCAGUGUUUAAGUUUCUUUUAACCCAUUUUUUUUUCUCUUAGACUAAGCAACUGGCAGACCUUUCGUUACUAAUAACUUUUUUUUUUUCUCAUAGAUGAAGCCACCAAAGGAGCUUCUACUACAACUAACUCUUUUCUCCUAUAGAAACACUCCUGGAGCAGCUCUUUCUUUUUCUGUCUCUCUUUUUAUCCUGUCCUUUCAAAUCCCCCGGGGGUAGUGACAGAUGGCCUUUUAUACAGAGCCAACUUCUGGCUCUGCUGGAGGAUUCUUCCUGUUAAAAGGAAGUUUGUCCUCUCCACUGUCACUACAUGCAUCCUAAAUAUGAGGCAUUGAUUUAGCUUACUAAACUGUGGUUCCGUGUUGGUCUUAUUUUGGAAAGUCUUCCUGUUAAAGGGAAGGUCUUCUUUUUGGAAAGUCUUCCUGUUGAAGGGAAACUUUCCUCUCCACGGUCACCACUUGAAUCCUCAGUAGGAGGCCUUAUUUAAGCUUACUUUACUUUUAAUAAAUUUAAAUAAUUGGUGCAGUGUUUAAUUAUUUUUUUGGAAAUUCUUCCUGUUAAAGGGAAGUCUUUCCUCUCCACUGUCACCAGAUGGAUAUUCAGUACAAGUCAUUGCUUUAGCUUAACUAUUAACCAAUUUAAAUAAUUGGUCUAGUGUUAACCUUAUUUUGGAAAGUCUUCCUGUUAAAGGGAAGUUUUUCUAUUUUUUGCUACCACAUGGAUCCUCAAUUCCAAGCAUUGCUUAAUCUUAUUUUAAUUAAUUUACGUAAUUGGUGCAGUGUUUUUUUUGAAAGUAUUCCUGUUAAAGGGAAGUUCUUCCUCUCAACUGUCACCACAUGUAUCCUCAACAUGAGGCAUUGCUUAAGCUGUCAUAACUUUUAGCCAAAGUUUGGUAAUUGGUUUUUAUUUAGUUAGUUUUUUGGAGAGUCUUCCUGUUAAAGGGAAGCUUUUCCUUUCUGUCACUACAUGCAUGUUCAUUAUAAAGCAUUGCCUAAGCUUACCUGUAUAACUUAACAAAUUUAAAUUGGUGUCUUGUUAACUAAUUUUGAAAGUCUUCCUGUUAAAGGGAAGUUUUUCCUCUUCACUGUCACCAGGUGGGAUCCUCAGUACAAGUCAUUGCUUUAGCUUAACUUUUAACCAGUUUAAAUAAUUGGUCCAGUAUUAACCUUAUUUUGGAAAGUUUUCCUGUUAAAGGGAAGCUUUUCCUUUCUAUGGUCAUUACAUGCAUGUUCAUUAUGAGGCAUUGCCUAGGCUUAUUGUGUUACUUAACACAUUUAAAUUGGUGCAGUGCUAACUUCUUUUGGAAAGUCUUUCUGUUAAAGGGAAGUUUUUCCUAUCCACUGUAACAGCAUACAUCUUGAGUAUGAGUCUCUGCUUCAGCUUGCAUAGCUUUUACUCAAUGUUUGAUAACUGCAGUUUUUUUUUUUUGUUUUUUUUUUUUUUUGGUGGAUGAUUGUUUUGAGCUCAUGAUUGGGAAUUUAAGGCCUUGUCAAGACAUGGUAUAUGGACCGGGAAGACAUGGUAUAUGGACCGGGAAGACAUAGAAGCCGACAAACAGUUUUUGUUGAGCUGGAACAACAACUCUGAAGAUACCAGAUGGCCUCAGACUGUGAAAGGUAGGAGUGUGAAUCCAGAGCCAGGAAAUGUGGUUUGGUACUUCCAUAGCCACUCCUAAAGACUAUGAAAUCAUCGGAUGAGUUCAAGGAAUUUGGUACCAGUUUGUAUAAUGAAGGGAUUGCUCCACAAAAGAAAAACCAAAUGGGCUAUUUGAAAGGUGGUUCUGAUCUUGGUUACAAAAGGUCACAACGGAUAAAGGGUUAGUUGCCCUUUGGUUGAGUGUGUAUGAAAACAAACCCUCCUGACGGGUGAGGGGUUAGUUGCCCUUCGGUCGGGUUUGUGUGAAAAUGAACCCUGCCGAUGGGUCAGGGGCAGGUUGCCUUUCGGUCGGGUUUGUGUGAAAAACGAACCCUGCCGACGGGUCAGGGGCAGGUUGCCCUUCGGUCGGGUUUGGGUAUAAAACGAACCCUGCCGACGGGUGAGGGGUUAGUUGCCCUUCGGUUGGGUUUGGGUAUAAAACGAACCCUGCCGACGGGUGAGGGGUUGGUUGCCCUUCGGUCGGGUUUGUGUGGCAAAACGAACCCUGCCGACGGGUGAUGGGUAGGUUGCCCUUCGGUCGGGUUUGUGUGGAAAAACGAACCCUGCCGACGGGUGAGGGGUAGGUUGCCCUUCGGUCGGGUUUGUGUGGAAAAACGAACCCUGCCGACGGGUGAGGGGUUAGUUGCCCUUCGGUCGGGUUUGGGUGAAAAACGAACCCUGCCGACGGGUGAGGGGUUAGUUGCCCUUCGGUCGGGUUUGGGUGAAAAGCGAACCCUGCCGACGGGUGAGGGGUUAGUUGACCUUCGGUCGGGUUUGGGUAUAAAACGAACCCGACCGGAAGGUAACAGUGUGAAAACUAAUCAACCAAACUUGGAUUCAAUUGCAGUGAUGGCAAAAACUGACAAGAGCAACAACUCAUUGGGGGAAAAGUCCUCAAGUGGCCCACCCACUCUCUGACUGCUCUCGACAAUGAUGGAUGGAUAAGGCCAUCACCCCCACCGCUGAUGGAUGACCUCACUGAUCCUACCGUCAGGCUCAGAAGUCUUCCUCAAGAAAUGCGGCAGGAAUCCUCCUGGAUCAUCUCAUUUUUCGUCUUGGAUUUUGCCCUUCAUUGGACCCCCAUCGACUGACGGAAGAAGCCCUCAUUGCCCCAAAGAUGAUGGAAGAAGACCCUCAUCACCCUCCCUUCCCCCUGCUGAUGGAUAACCUUAAUUACCCUACCAUCGGUCUCAGUAGUCUUCCUCAAGAAAGGCUGCAGGAACCCUCCUGGAUCGUUGCCCCGAUGAUGAUGGAAAAGAACCUCAUCACCAUCCUGCUAAUGGAUGACCAUUGGGUUCAACAGUCUUCCUCAAGAAAUGCUGCAGGAAUCCUCCUGGAUCAUUUUGUUUUUGUUUUGGAUUUCACCCUUCCUCGCCCCCUCUCGGCCCACAGAGGAAACUGGCUGCACUUAAAACAUUUAUCAAAACGACUUCAGUUUGUCUUUUUUUUUCUUUCUACCAAAAACUGGAUAUGUCUUCGGUCUGGUACUUAGAUCUGGUACAUCUAGCCAUUUUUUCCCCCCUUUUUUAAAUGAGCAAUUUUCUUUAUAGACUUCAUAAUUCAUUUUGUUUUUGUUUAUUUAUUUUUGAUAUUUAAAAUGUCUUCCAACUUCAGUGUUGAUGUUAAAAUUUAAUGUUUGUUUAUUUAUUUGAGAAUGUGUUCUUGCAUUAUUUUAGCAUUACCAGGGUUAUGGCAUUGAUUUUGAAAAGGCUUGGACUAGUGUACUGUAUCCUUCUGUUUUUAUGCUGCUGUUUGUUAUUUUCUGUUUCUACUACAUUAUUUAUUUAAACUGUUUUUAUUUUCUCAGUUAUUUUUCUUUUCACAGAAGCUACACCUGGACUGGCGUUGAUUAGCUGUGGUUG